GGAUAAUAGCUCAGAGGUAGAGCACGUGCUUAGCAUGCAUGAGGUCCUGGGCUCUAUCCCCAGUGCCUCCA
rnacentral:tRNA from 1 species